rnacentral:tRNA from 1 species
GGAGACAUGGCUCAGCCAGUAAGAGUACUGGCUACCUUUCCAGAGGACCUGGGUUCGAUUCCCAGAACCUCCA